rnacentral:lncRNA from 1 species
CCGCAGGACACUGUGGUUGUGCUCUCAAGCAUCUCCACACCUGGCUUCUGCUCAGUUUGCCUCAGCCCAGGAAGAUUUGAUGACACUGGAAACCUCAACACGGUCUGCUGGAAAGAACCUCGGCUACCUUGCCGUGGAAAAUGCAGGAUGGGUAUGGUUCCAAAAUCAGCUGUCAGUCCUCAGAUCAGCAGCUCGUCCCAGCAGCUUGCCAACCUUGGUGGUGAAAGGCAGUCAAGAAACAAAGAGGACAGAGACUUGGCUAGAAGACCAGGAGAUGAGACAAUUUUUGUUACCUCCUGUUUGGGCUGAAGAUAUCAGAUCCUUAUUGUCCUCAAGUGGAGAUAAAUGCAAACUACACCAUUAGAUCUAAGAUGGAAAUAUUUAAAGGAUGCCACUGUAUCCAGAUAGUAAUACUUUUUCACAAGUGGAGCACACAUGUGCACAGGAUUCUACCAGAUGAGAGAAGGGGAAGAAUGGGAGGUGAAUUACAUUUAAGUAUUAGAGGGAGUCCUGAGAAUUCCUCCGUGGUUCUUUGGUGAGUCUCCAGGGUGCAGGUGGAAGUCAGGACACACCCAGACCACUUUAAUUAUUAGCACAUUUUGUGAUCUAAAGAGAAGCAGCCAAUCCCUAUUUCCUCUCCAGAAUCCAAAACCCAGCAGUCUAAACAGAACCAACUCAUAUCCCAGUCAUGUGACCUCCAUAAAUAGGUGGUAAAGCACAGUGUGGAAAACUGAAGUCUACACCCUGAGUCUCCUGAGCUCUGAGGCUCCUGAGCUCGGAGGCCCCUGAGUCAUGGGCAAUCAGCUGAACUUUCCCUAGCAGAGAAACUGAAAGACAUCUAGGAGGAGACACUCUAGUGGAACUGAACUGCACAUCUGAAGCCUGCUGACCCCCAGGAACCACAACAGAAUCCCUGUGGUGAAUGUGAUGGCUGUAGUUCCUGCUUUCUGUUGAUGACCUUCUGGAACUCACUGAAGGCAACUCCUUCUCUGUGUGUACCUGGCAUUUACAUUUCAAAGACAAAUACAUAAUAUUGUUUAAAGAGAAAAAUUUAUUGAAAUAUAGAGUAAGAUAAAGAAGAAAUCUAUGUAAAAGUUUUAAAAAAUAUCUGCAGUUCUCUAAUCCUCAAAGCCAGUGAAGUACGUGAUGUACAUGGGUGACAAGCCAGGGAAAUAGAGGCAGAGCCCAGUCAGUGGUGGACUGCCAUCCUGGGAGUGACUGGUCCAUGCUGAGGACAUCACUAGUGCCUGGGUUACUUAGUUCAUGAGCUCUGGUUUUGUCAAGCAUGUCACAGAGCAUGAGGAAGGAGCCUUGAUAGAAAUGAGCAUUUUGACUCUUACAUCUUGAGAGGUUAUAAUUUACUGUUGCUACCCAGGGGGUAAAUGCUGAGCAGAUUUGUUCAGGAGACACCACUCUUAAUGUGCAUCAAUGAACUUGGCUUUUGUAGUUCCCUCAGUUCCUCGAGGAACUGUGUUCAGAUUGGAAGCAAUACUAUUCUACCAGACUUAGGUGUAGACCCACCAUGGUAAGGAAUUCCAAAAUAGAUUUCAUCAAAUCUUUUAUACCCUAACAGGACUACCUUGAAACUUUACAUCUUUGUACAUAAAUAGCAAAUAUUUCCCUUAUCACAUCUCAUUACCCAGAUACACAGCCCUGGGUUUAGUUUCUUGCUACAUCCCUCAGAGCCUCUUACUAUACUGUCCAGAGAUUACAGAACACAUUCUGGGCGUUACACAGAGACAUCACAUUAAAGCUAUGUCACAAUGGCCAAGCAGUAAGCAAGUGAAGUUCGUCCCAAACCAGCGCAUCUGGAUGAGGUAAGCUGACAGACUGGGCGUGUGUGAUUUGGGCUGCUAUUUCCUUUCCCUAAAAACACCCACUACCCACAGUAAGCCUACCCAGUCUUUCCAGGCUCAAACACCUAGUAAACACAUCAAGUCAACUGGAAGUCUUAAAAAUGAGUACCUUCUAUCCCAUUAAUAUUUCCCCCUAUUUACUCCAGACUGAUCAGGCCUGAAACAUCUCAAAUGAGUAGACAGAGAAGGCUUAAAUAAAUAAGACAAGUGAAAUGAUAUCAGGGCUCCAGGAAGAUAAAAAACACUCUCACAGAAUUUCAGAUUCUCAGGUUUAAGACGAAGAUCUUCUCUAGGCAGCCCAUAUUUAUUUAGCAAUAAAACAAGGUAGGGGAAUGUAAAGGCCUCACAAGGGACAUGCAUGGCCUCACAAAGAACAUGACUGAUUACUCCCCCUGUUGUCCUUUCCACCUGCAUCAUUCCGCAUUCUAGCCACUCCCUGAAGCUCCCUGAAAUGUAUCCUUCCUUUCUUGUAAGUUUCCUAAAGUUUCUAUAGUUUCUGGGAAGACUGCUUCACAAAGACUUCGCUUGCCAAGCAGGAUGUGGUUUUUUGGCUUAAAAGCUGCUCUCACACCUGGUUUGCUGCUGAUCUGAUCCUACCCUGCGUGGAGGCUCUCAGUCAGUCUCUGGCCAGCUAAUAAAGGCUCACUCUAAAAUCUCAAU